rnacentral:misc_RNA from 1 species
UACUGGAAAAGUUAAUUAUCAAUUGUUUUUCAACUAUCUAAUCGAAGUUCCUUUUUAAAAUACGAUCUGGUCAAUUUGAUCUACUAAUUAAUUGAGUCGGAAUAAUUUAAACUGAAAGAGAAUACUCUUGUUAACAAUGUAUAGCUAUAGCUAUAGCUGUGUAGCAUUCGCUCGCUGAUGUUUUUGAUAAGGUAGUAAACGAGUAGGCAAAGGGCAAGAUGCUAAAAAUCUGGAAAGCCUAUUGCGCAUGCGUAGCGUCUUUCUGGUCCAGGUAAUCCAGCUGUGUGGAUAAUACAUAAAGGUCUAAUUUUGUUGGGUUAUUUUCGCUAUUUGUUUGACAAGGAAGAAAAGUCAUGUCCGAAUCGGAAGAAAGCGAAAAUCGAGAAAAAGCUUAUGAUACUAUAUCAAAAGAUGAGAAGCAGAAUCGACCAAUACAUAAAGCUAAACGUACCGAGAGAAAAUGCCUAAAGGAAAUGGUCGAGAACAAAGCAACCAAGGAGAAGGACGAGGAGACGUCAGAAGACGAGAUUGAGCAGGUUGACGUCUCCCAAUUGCCUCAAUUCGUUAUCAAUUUUGGCUUAAGGGUAUUGAACGGUUGUUCGAGAGCCUUAGGCCUAAUUAAAAAUCUAUUCUUCUAUUUUUGCAAAUCGGUAUUUAACGCCUUACCAUCAACGCUGUUUCUUGUUUUCAUCUAUCUAUUCGACUCUAUUUUUUAUGUCGAGGAAUCUAAAUUAGAGGACAAGUUCAGAUACAUCACGGAAGCUCACGUAUGGACGCCCGUGCCGUUGUUAGCAAGCUGCUUCUCUAGCUGUGGAAUACCCGUUAACAAGCGGAAGAAAUUUGAUAGAAAUUCCCUGGAUUUCUCUUUAAUAUUUUUCCUCAAUUCCCUUAUAUCAACCUUUGUUCUACCCGACCAGUAUGUACAUUGGAUAAGAUCGGCUAUUUUUGGAUGUUUCGCCUUCAGGAUGCUUAUAUGGUUUUGUUUGUGCCUUGGAAUAACAAAUUUUCAAGAGCGUCUCUCGAAAGUCUGCACAGCUUUCAAUAUCAUCUUAAUAAUGACCAAUUGCAUAGUUGCAAUCAUGUUUGCCAAUGACAACCAAGUAAACAAACUACAAACCAGUGAUAUAAGAGAGCAAAGUUGGUUUUGAAUUAAACCUUAAAUGAUAAAAUUAAAGAAAAAGGAAAUACUUAGACUGUUUGUUUACUUUUUGAUCGAAGUAGUAUUUUUUCUGCAUUACAACAUAGAAAAAUAAGAUAUAGAUGUAGAUAUGCAUAGUUUGUAAAUAAACUAUAUUACUC